AGCGCGAACGCUGGCGGCAUGGCUAAAACAUGCAAGUCGAACGCGAAAGCCCCUUCGGGGGCAAGUAGAGUGGCGAAAGGGCGAGGAAUACGUUCCUACAUACCCCCAGGUCGGGGAUAGCCCGGGGAAACCCGGAUUAAUACCCGAUGUGGUCCCUGCCGUGAAACGCAGGGAUCAAAGGCUUCGGUCGCCAGGGGAGUGGGGAACGUCCUAUCAGGUUGUUGGUGAGGUAAUGGCUCACCAAGCCGUCGACGGGUAGCGGGUGUGAGAGCAUGACCCGCCGCAUCAGGACUGAGACACUGCCCGGACUCCUACGGGAGGCUGCAGUAACGAAUCUUCCGCAAUGCGCGAAAGCGUGACGGAGCAAUGCCGCGUGCAGGAUGAAGCUUUUCGGAGUGUAAACUGCUGUCAGGGUAUAGCAACACAAUGAGCAAACCCAAAGGAAGGGCCGGCUAACUUCGUGCCAGCAGCCGCGGUAAUACGAAGGGCCCGAGCGUUGCGCGGAAUUACUGGGCUUAAAGCGUACGUAGGCGGGCACGCAGGCGUCUUGUGAAAUCCCUCGGCUCAACCGAGGAACUGCUUGACGAACCGCGUGCCUUGAGGCAGGUAGUGGCUGUCGGAACGAUAGGUGGAGUGGUGAAAUGCGUUGAUAUCUAUCGGAACGCCGAAGGAGAAAUCAGGCAGCUGGGCCUGUUCUGACGCUGAGGUACGAAAGCGUGGGGAGCGAACGGGAUUAGAUACCCCGGUAGUCCACGCCGUAAACGAUGUGCACUAGAUCGAGGGGGUUCUGACACCGCUCUUGGUCGAAGCGAAAGUGUUAAGUGCACCGCCUGGGGAGUACGGUCGCAAGGCUA
rnacentral:rRNA from 1 species